UGUCCACUUGGGCUGAAGUGGGCAUAUGUGGUGGCAUUCCUUCAGGCUUGCUGUGACCCUGAGAAGGUGCUGGUGAAGGCCGGGGGACAGAGGGGUUCAUAACAUCCCAUACACAUACCAAGGCCUCUGACAGGAAUCACCUACAUAUUCCUUUAAAUUCCAAUCUCAUUAUGUGAGCUUUCACAGGCCAAACACAUAGUAGGUUCAUUCUCCCUCUCCCUUGCCAUCUACUCCAUCUAUCAGGCCUGCAGUUUGGCCUUGUUGUACACCUUGUCAUACAGUCUGCUUUCUACAAUUGCAUGAGACUUUGGCCACAGUGAGACUCAAGGCCUUCCUAUCAGCUCCUAUACAAGCUCCUACAUUGUUAGUAACUGAGCAAAAGACAGCAAAGGCAGGCAGCAUUUUACCUGAAAGCUAUGUCAGAUCUGCUCAGGAGGAGAGGCCAGGCAGAUGGGAACACAGACUUUUCAUACCAGAUCAUGGCAGUACCCUGCUUCCAGCGAAAGUCAACUCUUUCAGAAGAACACAAAUGUUAGUGUACCUAGCCAGCUGUAAAGUGGGAGUAGACAGAAAUAUUCCUCUCUUUCAUUCCUUGACAGGGCAGCCACAGAUACACUGUUACACUGAGAAAUUUUCUGCUAUAAAUUCAGGCCUCCUUUUUUCCCCAUCUGAUCUCAUUUAUCUCACCAUGGUUUCUGGCUUGCAGCAGGGAAACAAUUUAAUUUAGAUAUGAUGUUUGGAUCUGGAAGCAAGCUUUCCUAGAACACAGGGGUGUUUGGUUUUGUGUGUGCUUUGAUUUAACCCAUUAUUAUGCUACUUGAACCAAGUUAAAAAUCUGAAUACUUAUCUGACUGUUCAAAAAGAGCUCUAAAUCUGUUGUUUCAUCUUUUGCAGAAAGAGAAACAGAAACCAAAUAACAACAAGGAGAAGGGAAUAAAAAAGGAAAUUUACAGAAGACCUUUCCCAGGGCAGCUGCUAAAUUUCACAAGAAUGCGCUAUCUGCAGUUUUGGAAUAUCACCUCUCCACUUAAGAUAUUACAGGUCCUGGUUAUGAAAGUGCUGAUUUCCAGGAUGCAAGGCUGGCACACAACAAUUUCACUCCCAGUACAGCCACUGCGAUUUUUCCUCAUCAUUUUUAUCAUCCAGAGAGAAAGAACUUCUCUUUUUUCCUGAAAUUAACCCUUUGCCUCUGAUGAGGAAGUCCAAAGAAGCAAGUUGGCUGAACAGCACUUGGAGGCUGCACAAGGUGAAAGAAGAAAACAUGACGCACUACCUUUUCCUCCAAAUGUGCACAGGCACUGCUUAUUUUGGGCACAAGUGACUUAGGAUUUGAAGAUACUUGCUGGCAUGUAUUUAAUUGCCAUGCUUUUUAAUUACUUCUCCAUAUGAUGGAUGAGUUUUUUGUCAAAAUGAGGUGACAGCGUUUUAACUUUUCCUCCCAUGCUGGGACUAUUUGCUCUGUCAAUUUGUGUAGCUUAUAAAAAUAUAUGCACAUCCUCUGAGCUGGGACCUGGCAUCAUAAAGCAAAGCCAAUUUUGGCUCCAUCCUCUUGGCAGUUAGUGAAAGCUGGGAGUCUUUGGGUGCAGGCUGUGAUGGUGCACAGAGUAUCCUCCGCCAUGAUGGGAGGGAUCACGGCAGGCACCUCUCCCCAGCCACAGGGCACAUGGGGCAACUUCACCUUGAAACUGUACAAGGUAAUGACAUGUCACACCGAGACCCAUUUCCCCAUCCUUGCAUAGCCACCCGACAUGGAGGGUCCGAGGGAUGCUGGGCUCAUCUCUCCUAUGCAAGUGCAGGGAGAGAUAAGGGUUCUGGCCCUCUGCUCUUCAGCAGCACCACGAGAUAAGCCUACCACCCUUGUCAUUUCUGUCAUUCCAGCCACACCCUGCGCAGUAGCCCUGGAUGUGUACUCAAAGCUGGACUUCUCGACCUCCGCUUUCUUUUCAGGUCUCCUCAUCCUCUGCACAAAUAACUCCACUCUUUUAACAGCAGCUCAUGUAAAACUAAGAAUUUCAAGAGAGGGAGAACACUAUUGAUAUGUACCCAGUGCAAAACAUAUAUACCAAGCUCAAGAGCCUUAAGCCAGUUGACCCAGGCCAGGUGGAGAGGGAAGGAGUGCUAUGCCAACGCGCUGCCCAAAUUUGAUUUGAGAGAAAAAACCCUUUAAUGUGAUAACACACACAGGGCACUACCUCCCAUUUCCACACAAUGGAUGCCUCUGCCCAGCUUUGAUCAGUGUCCCCACUGGAAUGUGCAAGGUUCAGUGUAUGGUCAGACUUUAGUCACUCAGCCCUGGAAGAAAAGGGAAAAUCAGACACAUCCAUUUGCUGCUUUCCUCAGUCUGAACUAGACAACCAUUUAUGGCCUCCCCCAAAGAUGGUCUGCUCUCUUGUCCCUGACUUUGCUGCAAAUUCCAGCAUUACUGUUACCUCCAUUACAACCUCCUGAGUCUCAUCUGUUGCCCUCUGAAGCCUGGUGCUGGCUAAGAACGCACCAAACAGCACUGAGUGAGGGUUAUAUGUCAGAGACCCAAAACUCAUCAAGCCCCUUAAAGCCAGGACAACGUAUGGAAGCAAGCAGGACUGCUGCAGUAACAACACUGUUCAGACCCCUAACCUCUAUGGCUCCACAGUAUCAAUAUGGUGAAGACGUCUGACAAAAAAGGGGGACUUUGGUAAAAUAUCUCCUGUCUUUGCCAAGCAUUAAUCUCCGUUCCUUUGGAAGGCUCUCCCUGAAGUCCACAGUCAUACAAUGAUGUGCAGGGUAUUCCACAGAGGGGGUUCUCUGUGCCUGUGCCCCAGUCCAGGGAAUUAAAGCCUGGAGAGGUCAGAAGCUCCAAUCACACCAAAUGAAGCCAUUGCAGGCAUCCUAAAUUAUUAAUGUCUUUAAAUACUAAGUGCACUCAGGAAACAACUCAGCCUGCAGCACACAGGCUGUACAUCAACAGGGUCCCAAAGGGGUUGCAGAAAAAAUUUCACUAAGGAUUAUGAAGCAGUAAUUCUGUUUGCACUGACAUAUUUGUCUCUCCCAUGGACAGAGGAUACACAUGGUCACGAAUCACUGCAUUUGUCAGCACAACUCUUCUCUUGCUGUUUCAGUCGCUCUUCCUCCCUGGGAGAGACAUAGCUGUCCGAACAAACCGCUCCAUUUUAUUCACAUUUAAGAAGGCAAUCUUGCAACCCUGGAGAAGACUGACACUUUUCAGUCAUAUGGCAAGAGCAUCAUACCUCCACAUCUACAAUCUCACUUCAGUUCAAUUCUGUCACUGCAAUUCAUUAACAUAGCUCUGCUAUGCACACUUCGAUAUUUAUCUUUAACCACAUCCCUUUAAAACUAACCUUACUGACAACUUAACUUCUGUAAGCUUCCAUUUUGCUAUACAUUCAGUUUUAUCCCCCUCUGACUGCAGUAGCUCCUACCUCUGGCUCAUCACCAUUGGCGCAACUGGCCUGCAGAUAACAACUCUGACUUGCAUGCUGUGUUAACAGUUUGCUGGUUUCAUGCAGUUUUAAUUUUGUUUCAAGAGGAACUGAUGCUGAUUUUUGCUCCUGUUUCAACAUUUGGCAGAAGCAUGAAAUCCCCCUUCCCUGUAGGAAACAGGAAGAAAGUUUUAACUUCAUCUUUUUAGGAUGUACAUGUACAAACAACACACUCAAAAUGCAAACUCCUCCUGUUUAUCUCCUCCAUACCUCAGAUUUUCUGUUCUCUUUCUCUGCUUUUCUGGGAAUAUAUUUCUUUCACUUCUGCUCAUCUCCCUCCCACGCGCACAGGCAUGCACUGAUUUGUUAUUGCUAGGUCAAUUGUGAUUACAGGUCUGGAUAUGCUUGUUUAUUGCAGGGGUGUCCCUGGCUUUACAGGCUGUUUGCUGUUAAGUUAUUACAGUGCUUAAGCCUCAUUCUUCCAGUUUGCUCUCUUUUAUACACACACACAAACCACCACAACAUAUUUAUUUUGGAAUGGCAAAUGAAAAAACUGACUUGGGCUUUGCAAACAAUUUGAAAGGGAAUAAGGGAAAUUAUGGGGCCUGGAAAUGCCAGCCUCCAUGCCCCACCUGGCUUCGCUGAGUGUGUGCCAUUUUUCUGUGGUUCUGGAAUAUAAAGCUUCAAGUGCCACAAAAGCUGCAUGUCUGCUUUGCUUGGCUUCAGAAGCCCAGGCACAGCAUAUUCAUCUGGGAAGCUUGCUAGCUGGGGUUGAGGAAAACCACUGGUCCCUUUUGGCUAUACAGACACUGGCAAUAGCUGUUACAAGUUAGAUUUAGCUCCCUAGAGCAACAAAUGAGAAGAAUUGAAAACCUUAAAAACUAUAAUUGAUAUAUUUACACUUAUCAAAUAUAACGGCAACCCCACUCCCUGAAAUAUGUUUUGGGUCCCUUCCAAAAAGGAGGGUUUCAAAAGCAAACUUAUACCUAUCCUCGCAGCAGAAAGAAUUUCCAUUUUAUUUUGAAAAGUCCUGUGUGUACCCCCACUGCAUUCCUCCUCUUCCCAUCCCACAAAAAAACCCAAAAAAAGGCAAACUUCUGGGCAUAGCUUAAAAGCCACAAGACUUCCUGCAUGUGUGUAUUCUCCAGCUCCACUGCAGAUAUUUGGAGUUACAUAAAACUGGGCAGUUAGUGAUUCUGGCAGCUGAGAAAUUACAAAGUUCAGGGGCUGAGGAGGGCGUGGGCCAAGCUGAAGUUUUCCAGAGCACUGUACCAGACAGAUCCGAUGAAAAACACUUCUCUCUCGAGGCUCAGGAAGUGGAGUUAGAAGCUCUGAACCUGAAACAGGCAUCAGGGAAUGUUCUCCAUUCCUGGUUCCCUGUGAACACGGGUAUUGGCAGUGCUCGUUAUCAAGGAUGGUUUGGACUUUAAAAAGAAAUGAAUGUGCUGUCUAUCUGCAGCAAUGCAAUGCUUUUACAGUGACAUGGCAGAGACUGACAUGCUCAAAUCACCCAUUAGUCAGAGCUGUGUGAGCUCCCUUAUGAACCAGCAGUUUCCAUUUCCAUCUGGAUGGUUGAGGCAUAAGGAUGAGAUCAAAGUGCAUCAUGUAAUAAACUGCACUAGCUACCAAACUUGCUCCAAGUCAGCACAUUCACACUAGAAGGUGGUUUUGUGUUAGAACAGCUGUUUACUUGGAUGAUGCUAAAUCUAACUGUUACAUUUACUAUUAUGUCUGAAAGCAGCUAACUCGUAAGAUCCAGACUUAAAACCAUCUAGGUAGGAACAGUCACCCUUCUUACCUAUUCUGAGUGCCCAACAGCAUGUAGUUAGCACAUGUUGCAAGAUGUUGGAAUUUUUCAGUGUAAGUCCCAACUGGGCUUUAAAACAUCCUGGGUAGUUGAGCUUAAUUUCUAGCUCUGGCCAGGGUUUAAAAACAUGCUUUCAGUUGUGACUAGCUGUGAUCACACUAAGGACAAAAUAGCCUUUAGCCAUGUGUUAGUUAACAAAUACUGGAAUAUUGUAUACAGUCUUACUGCAUGCAGUGCAAGAAAGACACUGGCAAUCUGAAGUGAAGGCCAGUGGAAGGACCCUAAAAUGGUUAAGGGUAGGAGCAGGUAGCAUAUGAAGAGAGGCUGGGAGAACAUAAAUUCUUCAGCCUAGAGAAUGCUAAGGCAGGAGACUUUGUACAAGAAGACAGAAUACUUGUAUUUGAUUACUUUAAGGAAAAUGCUGAUAAGCCAAAUUUAGAGGAUUUACAGAUUAUUUGUCCACAAGGAUCUGUAAUAACUCAUUGCACAUGAGAUAAACCCAGCCAUUUGAUUUUUUAUUCUCAUCACUAUCUGAAAUGGAAGAAGUCCCCAGUGACCUAGAGAGGAGACACUAUGUAUCACAGUACAAACUACUACAAGCAACUGAUACACUUAGUAUUGUAUUAAGGAUGGAAAUUUGUUUUAAAGACUAAAUUUUAUGCAUUGUGUCAUCAGUUCUCAAUGAAAUAGGCAGGGCAAGGUUGACUCUGUUUACCUGUUUAUUUUGAAUACACAAAAGACAAACUUUUGUAACUCAGUACAGAAUCAGUCAUCUAACUAAAUAAAGUAACUGCGUAUGUGCUAUGUGGUCUUGGUCAAGUCACUCAAAACCUUACCACUUGAGAUUAUGGUUCUGCAGCAGUCUAAAUGAAACUAACAGUUGGCUUAUGCGGUCCAGCUCUAGCUAUGCUUUUCCAUUCCUCCCUUACUCCCAACACAUUGCUUAUUACACCAUUCACCAAGCUGUUUCCCCAAUCUAGGUCACCCAACAUUAAGCAACAUAUCUUUUUUACAAACCAGGAUCACAGUAACAGCUAAAGCUAUAAAUAAGAAGUAAAAUGUAACUCCACUUUCUAUUUUAUUUUAGAUAGCUGCAACUUUCCUCAGGUCUGGGGGUCCGUUUUGGUUUGUUCUCUUUUAUUUUUUUGAGAGGGGAAAGGAAAGUUUUGGAAAAUUCAAUAAAGUGCUUAUUCUCAUAUGCAAAAUAUAAUGUCAACAUGCUUUUUCUGUACUGUCAGCUCACAUUCCUCAGGAAAAAGAUGAAGUGAAAAUUAAUGAAAUCCAGUGAAUGCUUGCUGGAAAAUGUUUGCUUUAUAAUGAAAACACAGGCAUGCCUUGACAACACUUAGAAUGGAAGGCAGAAAGCAUUUCAGAUACUUUUUGUAUCUUAAAGAACAUUAUGCAAUUUGUUACUUACAUGUCACUAAGAUACAUUUAAAAAAAAAAAAAAAGACCAGACAUACCACAUAAAGAUGAAAAUGACCUUUUUUCCCCCUGUAGCACAGCCUGCAGGAUCCAGGGUUCUGACCCCGGUAAGACCCUCAGCCUGGCAAGCAACGCUGGGACAUGAGGUUGCAAGCUCUAGCUGCCCCAAAGCUUACUCCCUCUGUGCCGAAGCCCCCUUGCACACUACCCUGAUCUGCACAAGCCACUUUUCUUUUUUCUCUGUCUGGGAUCUGGCAAUGACCUCCUGCAACCUAACUGCUCUCCCCAGCAGCCUUUUCUCCAGGCUCUGUGUUGACCUGGCAAAUGCUUCUAGUUGUAAGGAGAUUAAAAGAAGGCCCCUUGGUGCUUGAUUGACCUUUCCCUCAGACCACCAGGAACAACAGUGGUGUUCACCCCUCUCCACCCCAACAGAGGCCCAGGAGUUCCACAAGAUGGAGAACACUUUGCCUGGCCCACACUCACUAAAGACUGGGAAAAGCUCAUGGGACUAGCAUACAAACCCAAAGACAAAGCAUGGUUUUAUGCCCAGUGGUAUUAAGAGACAGCAGAAAUGUGAUGGUACAAAACAAUAAUGGGGAUUUCUUGGUUCUGUGUAGAAUUUCAUUGCUCCUAAAGAGGAAAAACAUCGCAAGGAUUCCUCCUCCCAGUAGAAUGAAGGAGAAUGGGACAAGUGGCUCCAUCCAAAGCUCUCCAGCCCUGAAAUGGAAGUUAUCUCCAAAGGUCUGUGUGCUGCUGAGGCACAUCUGCAAAGCCCAUAACAAAUCCCAAGCGCAGAUAGGUUCUGUUUCACAGUUUCACCCUCACUCUUCAUGUGACAGCUUUCUUUAAAAUCCCACAGUAUCUCUUUCUCACUUGGAAACAUCACCUCUGGUUUUCCUUUCUCCUUGUCUUGGUCUCUGCUUUCCAAAGGACUCCUAACUUGAGAACCUGUUUUCCCCCUUGUCUCUAUGCUUCUGUUAACCCUGCUUUACAUGUGCUAUUAUGAAAAAUAAAACAAAACUUCAACUGCAAGAAGAAAGGACUCAAGCCAUUUGACAGCACCUGCAGCAUUCGUGCCUCUCUCUCACUGGUGCCAAAGGUGAGAGGAAUUUUAGUAAUUCAAUAGACAGAUAAGAUAUGGGAGGUUACUGGAUUUAGUAUUUGGCUGUACCACGUUUCUGAAAUACAGUGCAACUAAAAGAAUUGCUAAAGGUCAC